rnacentral:rRNA from 1 species
CCUACGGGUGGCAGCAGUGGGGAAUAUUGGACAAUGGGCGAAAGCCUGAUCCAGCCAUGCCGCGUGUGUGAAGAAGGCCUUCGGGUUGUAAAGCACUUUCAGUGGGGAAGAAAGCCUUGGGGCUAAUACCCUCGAGGAAGGACAUCACCCACAGAAGAAGCACCGGCUAACUCCGUGCCAGCAGCCGCGGUAAUACGGAGGGUGCGAGCGUUAAUCGGAAUUACUGGGCGUAAAGCGCGCGUAGGCGGUCUGAUAAGCCGGUUGUGAAAGCCCCGGGCUCAACCUGGGAACGGCAUCCGGAACUGUCAGGCUAGAGUGCAGGAGAGGAAGGUAGAAUUCCCGGUGUAGCGGUGAAAUGCGUAGAGAUCGGGAGGAAUACCAGUGGCGAAGGCGGCCUUCUGGACUGACACUGACGCUGAGGUGCGUAAGCGUGGGUAGCAAACAGGAUUAGAUACCCUUGUAGUC